GAUCUUCUACAAUGCGACUAUUUCCACCUACACAUGCUAGAUGAAGGAGGGUGUCAUUGUUGUCAUCUCUUAGUUGUGAGAUCAGCUCCCUUUGACACGAGCAGGUCGA